GUUCAAUGUGUUUUCCCAAAGGAUACAACAGAGGCUCUGAUAUGGGAAGUGAAUACAGGUACAACCAGUCCCCAGGUGGAUUCACCACCUCCCAGUCAGGAGAAAACCAAGAGGUCAGCCCUCCAGAUGAUGUCGUGUCCCAGCUGCUGUCUGCCACAGUUGCCAGGGAAGUCUUCAGCUUUGGAGACAUGGAGGUCAACCAGGGCCAAAGGUCAUUGUUGGCUUUCAACCGCUGUUGCCUUGAGGACCUGAAUGAGAUCACCUCACAUGCUGGAGGUAGUGCAGGCCCACAUGCAGCACAACAGGAACCUGUGUAGUGGUGGUAAUGCUGGAGACAGACGCAUCAACGUAUGGGCUGAGCAAUCAGAGCCAGGUCUGUUUUUUUUAGCCCAGCAGCAGAAACGACACCUAGACCAGGGGUACUCAACUCUUAACCCACGUGGUCCGAAGCCUGCUGCUUUUCUUUUUCUAUCUGAUAAUUAAUUGCACACAACUGGUGUCCCAGGUCUAAAUCAGUCCCUGAUUAGAGGGGAACACUUAAACAUGCAGUGGAACUGGCUUCUAGGUCCAGAGUUGUUUGAGAGGCCUAGACCCUAGCUUCUAAUGCCUGAUUGACUAUAGGGGUGACCUGAACUGUUCUAUGUUGGUUCAGAUCUUUUUAUUUUCACAUUGUCCUUACCAGCACAGUUCCAGCAACUAGAGUCAAUGUGUAACCAGGCCAACACAGUACAGCUAAGCUUGGCUAGGCUAAGUAGUGUGAAAAGGGUAUGUGUCUUGGGGUAGGGGUUGUUUCUGGAUAAGGCCUCUGUAUGCAGUUUCAAAACCAACUCGACAAUGGAUUUGUCUGUGUGAUAAUUAGAUUGGGCCUGUAGUCUAAGGCUGUCCAAUUCUGAGAUUUAUUUUCACUAAUUGGUAUUUUGACCAAUCCGAUCAACUCGUA
rnacentral:lncRNA from 1 species